rnacentral:rRNA from 1 species
UGAGGAAUUUUGGUCAAUGGGGGAAACCCUGAACCAGCGACGCCGCGUGCAGGAUGAAGGAGCUUUGCUCUGUAAACUGCUGUCGGAUGGGAAAAAAGGUUUGCUUCGCGAACUGGGAUUGUACCAUCAAAGGAAGGAUCGGCUAACUACGUGCCAGCAGCCGCGGUAAUACGUAGGAUCCAAGCGUUGUCCGGAUUUACUGGGUGUAAAGGGAGCGUAGGCGGGCUCGUGCGUCAGAGGUUAAAGAUCUAGGCUCAACCUAGGGAAUGCCUUUGAUACGGCGAGUCUUGAGAGUAAGAGAGGACGGUAGAAUUCCUGGUGUAGCAGUGAAAUGCGUAGAUAUCAGGAGGAAUACCAGUGGCGAAGGCGGCCGUCUGGCUUAUUUCUGACGCUGAGGCUCGAAAGCGUGGGGAUCAAACAGG